CCUGGGUGUUCUGUCCUCUAACACGCCAUACAAAACCUCAUCUGUCAGGCAAGCUUUAAUCGUGGCACAUGCCUUUUUCUCUAAGGACAUCUACUGCUUGUCAUUCAUCUCCUUCGGUCUAUCUUUUAAGGCUGAAUCCAGCCCCAUUUGAAUCAGCAGAUCCUCCACCCUGACCUAACUAGGGAGGGGGGACAGCAAUCCCC
rnacentral:lncRNA from 1 species